UAGCGGCGGACGGGUGAGUAACACGUGGGUAACCUGCCCAUAAGACUGGGAUAACUCCGGGAAACCGGGGCUAAUACCGGAUAACAUUUUUGAACUGCAUGGUUCGAAAUUGAAAGGCGGCUUCGGCUGUCACUUAUGGAUGGACCCGCGUCGCAUUAGCUAGUUGGUGAGGUAACGGCUCACCAAGGCAACGAUGCGUAGCCGACCUGAGAGGGUGAUCGGCCACACUGGGACUGAGACACGGCCCAGACUCCUACGGGAGGCAGCAGUAGGGAAUCUUCCGCAAUGGACGAAAGUCUGACGGAGCAACGCCGCGUGAGUGAUGAAGGCUUUCGGGUCGUAAAACUCUGUUGUUAGGGAAGAACAAGUGCUAGUUGAAUAAGCUGGCACCUUGACGGUACCUAACCAGAAAGCCACGGCUAACUACGUGCCAGCAGCCGCGGUAAUACGUAGGUGGCAAGCGUUAUCCGGAAUUAUUGGGCGUAAAGCGCGCGCAGGUGGUUUCUUAAGUCUGAUGUGAAAGCCCACGGCUCAACCGUGGAGGGUCAUUGGAAA
rnacentral:rRNA from 1 species